rnacentral:rRNA from 1 species
AUGCAAAUGGUGUCUUGUGGUCGCACUGCGGUUAACAUCAACGGGGAAUUGGGCCCUUCUUCCCCACCCUAUGUGGGGUCAGACAGGAGUGACCCCUUCUCCCCGUUCUUGUUUAACAUGGUUGUCGAGGCCUAGGCCACCAUCCUUGACAGAGCUAGGACCACGGACCAUAUCCACGGUGUGGUGCCCCAUCUGGUAGAUGGAGGAGGGGUUUCCCUCCUACAAUAUGCCGCCGAUACCAUUAUCAUGGUAACCGGAGGACAUCACCAACCUGAAAUUCCUCCUCUGUUUCCAACAUAUGUCGGGACUCACCAUCAACUUCGACAAGAGUGA